rfam:Gossypium hirsutum cultivar TM-1 unplaced genomic scaffold scaffold1107.1, whole genome shotgun sequence
AACCCAUGGUGAGAACACCUUCUCAAUAAGUCCUUAUAUCUCUCCCAUACAUCAUAUAGGGUUUCCAAAUCCAUUUGUACGAAGGAUGAGAUAUCAUUUCUAAGCGU